rnacentral:rRNA from 1 species
GAUGAACGCUGGCGGCGUGCCUAAUACAUGCAAGUCGAGCGAACAGAUAAGGAGCUUGCUCCUUUGACGUUAGCGGCGGACGGGUGAGUAACACGUGGGUAACCUACCUAUAAGACUGGAAUAACUCCGGGAAACCGGGGCUAAUGCCGGAUAACAUUUAGAACCGCAUGGUUCUAAAGUGAAAGAUGGUUUUGCUAUCACUUAUAGAUGGACCCGCGCCGUAUUAGCUAGUUGGUAAGGUAACGGCUUACCAAGGCAACGAUACGUAGCCGACCUGAGAGGGUGAUCGGCCACACUGGAACUUAGCCACGGUCCAGACUCCUACGGGAGGCAGCAGUAGGGAAUCUUCCGCAAUGGGCGAAAGCCUGACGGAGCAACGCCGCGUGAGUGAUGAAGGUCUUCGGAUCGUAAAACUCUGUUAUUAGGGAAGAACAAAUGUGUAAGUAACUGUGCACGUCUUGACGGUACCUAAUCAGAAAGCCACGGCUAACUACGCG